rnacentral:rRNA from 1 species
UACGUAGGGUGCGAGCGUUAAUCGGAAUUACUGGGCGUAAAGCGUGCGUAGGCGGUUCGCUGUGUCCGAUGUGAAAGCCCCGGGCUUAACCUGGGAAUGGCAUUGGAAACUGGCGGGCUUGAGGGCGGCAGAGGGGGGUGGAAUUCCGCGUGUAGCAGUGAAAUGCGUAGAGAUGCGGAGGAACACCGAUGGCGAAGGCAGCCCCCUGGGUCGACACUGACGCUCAGGCACGAAAGCGUGGGGAGCAAACAGG